rfam:Operophtera brumata OBRT01_Sc01861, whole genome shotgun sequence.
UGUUCUAUGGCCGAACUGGUAAAGGCAUUGCCGAUCACACGCAAGGUUGCGGGUUCGAGUCCCGCUGGAACGG